UACGUAGGGAGCGAGCGUUGUCCGGAUUUAUUGGGCGUAAAGCGCACGUAGGCGGAUCUUUAAGUCAGAGGUGAAAUCCCAAGGCUCAACCUUGGAACUGCCUUUGAUACUGGGGAUCUUGAGUCCGGGAGAGGUGAGUGGAACUGCGAGUGUAGAGGUGAAAUUCGUAGAUAUUCGCAAGAACACCAGUGGCGAAGGCGGCUCACUGGCCCGGUACUGACGCUGAGGUGCGAAAGCGUGGGGAGCAAACAGG
rnacentral:rRNA from 1 species